AUCUUUUUAGUAAAAAAAAUACAAAUGACUUCCAAUCAUUAAACCUUGGUUAAAUCUAAGAAAAGAUA
rnacentral:tRNA from 1 species